GACGAACGCUGGCGGCGUGCCUAAUACAUGCAAGUUGAGCGCUGAAGGAUGGUACUUGUACCAACUGGAUGAGCAGCGAACGGGUGAGUAACGCGUGGGGAAUCUGCCUUUGAGCGGGGGACAACAUUUGGAAACGAAUGCUAAUACCGCAUAAAAACUUUAAACACAAGUUUUAAGUUUGAAAGAUGCAAUUGCAUCACUCAAAGAUGAUCCCGCGUUGUAUUAGCUAGUUGGUGAGGUAAAGGCUCACCAAGGCGAUGAUACAUAGCCGACCUGAGAGGGUGGACGGCCACAAUGGGACUGAGACACGGCCCAAACUCCUACGGGAGGCAGCAGUAGGGAAUCUUCGGCAAUGGACGAAAGUCUGACCGAGCAACGCCGCGGGAGUGAAGAAGGUUUUCGGAUCGUAAAACUCUGUUGGUAGAGAAGAACGUUGGUGAGAGUGGAAAGCUCAUCAAGUGACGGUAACUACCCAGAAAGGGACGGCUAACUACGUG
rnacentral:rRNA from 1 species